GACGGAGGGAGCAAGCGUUGUUCGGAUUUACUGGGCGUAAAGGGCGUCUAGGCGGAUUGGUCAGUCAGGUGUGAAACCCCUCGGCUCAACCGGGGAUCUGCACUUGAUACUGCCAAUCUUGAGUAUGGAAGAGGAAAGCGGAAUUCCAGGUGUAGCGGUGAAAUGCGUAGAUAUCUGGAAGAACACCGGUGGCGAAGGCGGCUUUCUGGUCCAAUACUGACGCUAAAGCGCGAAAGUGUGGGGAGCAAACAGG
rnacentral:rRNA from 1 species